rnacentral:rRNA from 1 species
CCUACGGGGGGCAGCAGUGAGGAAUAUUGGUCAAUGGGCUUACGCCUGAACCAGCCAAGUCGCGUGAGGGAAGACUGCCCUAUGGGUUGUAAACCUCUUUUGUCAGGGAGCAAUUGGCGCUACGUGUAGCGUUCUCGAGAGUACCUGAAGAAAAAGCAUCGGCUAACUCCGUGCCAGCUGCCGCGGUAAUCCGGGGGAUGCGAGCGUUAUCCGGAUUUAUUGGGUUUAAAGGGUGUGUGGGCGGAAUGCCAAGUCAGCGGUAAAAUUGCGGGGCUCAAACUCGCUCCGCCGUUGAUACUGGCGGUCUGGAGUGGGCGAGCAGUAUGCGGAAUGCGUGGUGGAGCGGUGAAAUGCAUAGAGAUCACGCAGAACUCCGAUUGCGAAGGCAGCAUACCGGCGCCCAACUGACGCUGAAGCACGAAAGCGUGGGUAGCGAACAGGAUUAGAUACCCUAGUAGUC